rnacentral:rRNA from 1 species
UACGUAGGGUGCAAGCGUUGUCCGGAAUUAUUGGGCGUAAAGAGCUUGUAGGCGGUUUGUCGCGUCUGCUGUGAAAUUUCGGGGCUCAACCCCGAACUUGCAGUGGGUACGGGCAGACUAGAGUGUGGUAGGGGAGACUGGAAUUCCUGGUGUAGCGGUGAAAUGCGCAGAUAUCAGGAGGAACACCGAUGGCGAAGGCAGGUCUCUGGGCCACUACUGACGCUCAGGUGCGAAAGCUAGGGGAGCAAACAGG